AGCGAACGCUGGCGGCGUGCCUAACACAUGCAAGUCGAACGUGAAAAGGGAAACCUGAGUAAAGUGGCGUACGGGUGAGUAACGCGUAGGUAAUCUACCCCAGAAUCUGGAAUAACCUGCCGAAAGGCGGGCUAAUACUGGAUAGAGCGAGGGAACUCGUAAGAGAGUUUUUCGGGAAAGGGAGCCCGCAAGGGCCUUCGUUCUGGGAUGAGCCUGCGUCUCAUUAGCUAGUUGGUAAGGUAACGGCUUACCAAGGCGAUGAUGAGUAGCUGGUCUGAGAGGAGGAUCAGGCACACUGGAACUGAAACACGGUCCAGACUCCUACGGGAGGCAGCAGUGGGGAAUCUUGCGCAAUGGAGGAAAGUCUGACGCGGCCACGCCGCGUGAGUGAAGAAGGCCUUCGGGUUGUAAAGCUCUGUCGAAUGGGACGAACAUAUUCAUAGUGAAUAGCUAUGAGGACUGACGGUACCAUCAAAGGAAGCACCGUCUAACUCCGUG
rnacentral:rRNA from 1 species